rnacentral:rRNA from 1 species
GACGAACGCUGGCGGCGUGCCUAAUACAUGCAAGUCGAGCGAAUGGAUGGGAGCUUGCUCCCUGAAGUUAGCGGCGGACGGGUGAGUAACACGUGGGCAACCUGCCUGUAAGACUGGGAUAACUUCGGGAAACCGGAGCUAAUACCGGAUACAUUCUUUCUUCGCCUGAAGAAAGAUGGAAAGAUGGUUUCGGCUAUCACUUACAGAUGGGCCCGCGGCGCAUUAGCUAGUUGGUGAGGUAACGGCUCACCAAGGCAACGAUGCGUAGCCGACCUGAGAGGGUGAUCGGCCAAACUGGGACUGAGACACGGCCCAGACUCCUACGGGAGGCAGCAGUAGGGAAUCUUCCGCAAUGGACGAAAGUCUGACGGAGCAACGCCGCGUGAGCGAAGAAGGCCUUCGGGUCGUAAAGCUCUGUUGUUAGGGAAGAACAAGUACCAGAGUAACUGCUGGUACCUUGACGGUACCUAACCAGAAAGCCACGGCUAACUACGUGCCAGCCGCCGCGGUAAAAC